GACAAGGCAACCCAGUAGGAGGAAGCAUCCCAAGAGCAGGCAAAAUUGACAUGACUGCAAGCUUCCAUCUGGGAAGGCUAUUUCAGUCCAAGCUUUCUCCAUGUUGGCCCCUCUACAGUCUUACCAACUCUGGUUCUUCCUGUGCAUCUGGCACUCUGAUAGGGCCACAGGUAGGAAAAAGAAGGUAGCUCCUGAGGCAGCAGGUGAACUGUGCAAUAUGAUGGAGUCACCACAAGACCACCAAGGCCCUACAACUGCUUAGGUAUAAAUUAUCAAAGCAAAAAACCCUACAAAUCUUAGAGUUUUUAUUUUAGAAUAUCUUAUUUAGUUUUAAAAUAAAAUAAAUUUAAUGAAU